rnacentral:rRNA from 1 species
GAUGAACGCUGGCGGCGUGCUUAACACAUGCCAGUCGAACGGUGAAGGCGGAGCUUGCUCUGCUGGAUCAGUGGCGAACGGGUGAGUAACACGUGAGCAAUCUGCCCCUGACUCUGGGAUAAGCGCUGGAAACGGCGUCUAAUACUGGAUACGAGCUGCGAAGGCAUCUUCAGCAGCUGGAAAGAAUUUCGGUCAGGGAUGAGCUCGCGGCCUAUCAGCUUGUUGGUGAGGUAAUGGCUCACCAAGGCGUCGACGGGUAGCCGGCCUGAGAGGGUGACCGGCCACACUGGGACUGAGACACGGCCCAGACUCCUACGGGAGGCAGCAGUGGGGAAUAUUGCACAAUGGGCGAAAGCCUGAUGCAGCAACGCCGCGUGAGGGACGACGGCCUUCGGGUUGUAAACCUCUUUUGGCAGGGAAGAAGCGAAAGUGACGGUACCUGCAGAAAAAGCGCCGGCUAACUACGUG